rnacentral:rRNA from 1 species
CCUACGGGAGGCAGCAGUGGGGAAUUUUGGACAAUGGGCGCAAGCCUGAUCCAGCCAUGCCGCGUGCAGGAUGAAGGCCUUCGGGUUGUAAACUGCCUUUGUACGGGACGAAAAGACUCUUCCUAAUACGAGGGGUCCAUGACGGUACCGUAAGAAUAAGCACCGGCUAACUACGUGCCAGCAGCCGCGGUAAUACGUAGGGUGCAAGCGUUAAUCGGAAUUACUGGGCGUAAAGCGUGCGCAGGCGGUAAUGUAAGACAGAUGUGAAAUCCCCGGGCUCAACCUGGGAACUGCAUUUGUGACUGCAUUGCUGGAGUGCGGCAGAGGGGGAUGGAAUUCCGCGUGUAGCAGUGAAAUGCGUAGAUAUGCGGAGGAACACCGAUGGCGAAGGCAAUCCCCUGGGCCUGCACUGACGCUCAUGCACGAAGACGUGGGAGGACAACAGAUAGUAUACCUACGUAGUACACGACCUAACCGACUAGUCACUAGGUUGGUUGGGUUCGUUCUA